rnacentral:rRNA from 1 species
CCUACGGGUGGCAGCAGUGAGGAAUAUUGGUCAAUGGCCGGAAGGCUGAACCAGCCAUGCCGCGUGAAGGUCAGUGCCCUAUGGGCGUUAAACUUCUUUUGUGCGGGAGCAAUAAUGGUCACGUGUGGCCAGACGAGAGUACCGUACGAAUAAGCAUCGGCUAACUCCGUGCCAGCAGCCGCGGUAAUACGGGGGAUGCAAGCGUUAUCCGGAUUUAUUGGGUUUAAAGGGUGCGUAGGCUGUGAGGUAAGUCAGCGGUGAAAUGCCGCCGCUCAACGGGGUGAAGUGCCAUUGAUACUGCCUGGCUGGAAGGCGGAUGCCGUGGGAGGAAUGUGUGGUGUAGCGGCGAAAGGCAUAGAUAUCACACAGAACACCGAUUGCGAAGGCAUCUCACGAAUCCGCGAUUGACGCUGAUGCACGAAAGCGUGGGUAUCAAACAGGAUUAGAUACUCCAGUAGUC